ensembl:lncRNA
AGAGAGUGCAAAGGUUUGGGGCAUUUCACAGAUCUUCUCUGAACCUUAAAUUUUCAUGAUAUCCUCAAAAGAUGAUGCAUUCCUUGUUCUGGAAGGGAGGGGAGAACAUGCAAACCUCACACCAGGCUAAGCUGGCUUUCUGCUGAUUGAAUUCUGCAGACAUCAAUAGAGAUGCAUUUCACCAUCUGGAGCAGUUUCGGGGCGUUUUUCCCAAGGAAGACAGCAAAGAACUGGUGCAUCCCUUGAAGAGGGUUAAAGCGGAGCAGAGCCCAGUUACAGACGUGGAACUCAAUUCAGAUCGGUUGUGACUCAGCAGUGAAUCCGGGCGGCUAGAAAGAGUGACGAUUAUUUUAACAAGCAACUGGACUCAGAAGUGAGGGUCUGAGCGCAAACACUCCGGAGUCAGAGACGAAAGAUGAAUCACUGAGGAAAAUCUGGAAAAGGCAACCCUGACUCAAGUUUUAAAAAUAAGAUCCUACCUGAUUUCUCUCGUGGAGGUGGCCGCCCCUGGAGAAGACAUCUCACAGAAAAGGCCCCGGAGCCUCGGCUCACUGGGGACUUCCAGGUAAGCUGCCAGGAGCCUUCAGGGCACUGAAGGCCAUUCCCGUGCCUCCGCCUUGAAUGGUGGUGGCUGCAUUGGCAUUGGGUCUCAGUGCCCUGCCUUCACUUCUAAGUCAUUGGCACAGAUUAGGUUCAAAUUGACCCCCUGACUAAGAGAGCUCCAUACACCGAUGAAAACUACUUAUAUUCAGUCUCCCAAAUGACUUUAUCACUAGCCGACAGUAGGUAAUUUGCUUCAAUUUUGGCUUUUGGAUUUGGGCCUGAGAGUCCAUUGUCAGGCCAUACCAUUAAAGGUGGUUUAAUUAGUUUUAAAAAAAGGAGAAUUGUGUAAAUCAGGGCAUCUAUUUGAGAUUCUAGGAUUAUCUUGCCGCUCCUGUCCUCCGC